rnacentral:rRNA from 1 species
GACGAACGCUGGCGGCGUGCUUAACACAUGCAAGUCGAACGAAGUGGCGAAAGGGUGAGUAACGCGUAAUCAACCUGCCCUUCAGAGGGGGACAACAGUUGGAAACGACUGCUAAUACCGCAUACAGUAGGUGGGGAGUGCGUCUGAUUAGCUAGUCGGCGGGGUAACGGCCCACCAAGGCGAUGAUCAGUAGCCGGUCUGGGAGGAUGACCGGCCACAUUGUGACUGAGACACGGCCCAGACUCCUACGGGAGGCAGCAGUGGGGAAUCUUCCGCAAUGGACGAAAGUCUGACGGAGCAACGCCGCGUGAGUGAUGACGGCCUUCGGGUUGUAAAGCUCUGUUAAUCGGGACGCGGUACCGGAAUAGAAAGCCACGGCUAACUACGUGCCAGCAGCCGCGGUAAUUC